rnacentral:tRNA from 1 species
GAGGGUAUAGCUCAAGUGGUAGAGCACAUGCUUAGCAUGCAUGAGGUCCUGGGUUCAAUCCCCGGUAUCUCCU